UAGGAGGUAGGUACUUUAAGAAGAAACCCCUCAUGUUUAUAAAUUUUGUAACAUGAAAGUUUUUGAAUUCUUGGUGCUUAUUUCUACUUACUGUGUUUGUUUCAAUGAGAAGAUUUUAAAGAUAAGUGCAAUAUUACAGAAGACAAAUGAUUCAUUACCUCAAUUUUUAGUCAAUGGAGACACAAAUUCUUCUGAUUUAUUAGAAGAACUAAGUGAAGAUGAUAACUCAUCUGUUUUGAGAGAAAAUUUAGGUAGCAAGAGUUUUCAUAAGAUUCCAGAAAAAGAAUUUGAAUUUGAGGAAACAAAGCGAAAAAAAAGAUCACUUAAAUAUCAUAAAAAAGAUUCUCCUUACAGAUUUUCAUUGAGCCCUCCAAUCAAUAUUAAGAAAAAUGAUAAAUCUAUUUUGCGUAGAAAUAGUAUUUCGGAUUCUUAUUACACUGAUAAUAUUGAUGAUGAUGUAAUCAAUGAGCAUUUUAUUGAUUCAAGUGAUCCAGAAUUUAGAUCAUCUCCGAUUCUUGAAGAAAGAAUAUCUAUUGAACCUGUGAGUGAUAAAAUGAUUCAAGAUCAACGUUUUAUAGAUUUUCCAGUUGGCGAUAAAAUUGACAAGCUUAUUAGAAAUGCUGACAACGAACGUAAACAGUUUGAGCAAAUAAAUUCACAUAUUGGUUCAAAUUCAAUAUUCCCAAGCCAAAAUAACUUCCUUCGUAAUGCUCAAAAUAUAAUUGGAUUUCAACCUAAUGGUUUUAUUUCUCCUCAAAAAAAAGAUGUUUUAUUAAAAACAAGAAAUCAAAAUGAGCUAGUUAAUUCAAAGAAGUUUCUGCGCAAAGAUAUACCAUCUGUUUCUGAUAAUAGCAAUAUUUCACCUAUUCAAAAGAAGUUUCUGCGCAAAGAUAUACCAUCUGUUUCUGAUAUUUCACCUAUUCAAAAGAGCAAAGAUCACCUUUCUGAUGUUUUUCGAAGCAGUUCUAAAAAAUUAAAAGAUUUUUCAUCAAUUCUCUUUAAAAAAAACCAUAAAGCUGAUAAUAUGAACUUUAAGCAUACUUUAGGUGUUCCAUUUACAAAUUACAAAAGGAAUGCAUAUCCUGAAGGUUCUACAAGUCUUUUAGAGAAUAAAAACAUAAUCAAAGUUAUCAAUCUGAACUCAAGUGAUUCAAAUGAUGAUAUUAUUAUUGAUUAUGCAAAACAAUACAGUGGCAACAAGAGACUAAUUGCUGAUUUUUCAAAAGGUAACGCAGAAUUGAUUAUCUAUCCUUUGAACAAUGCAGACUAUGAUGGGUUGAUAUCUAAACGAAGUGAUAUACCUAGUAUCCAAACUUUACAUUUUGAGAAUGUUUUCAAAGCUAUGAUAGGUGAUUAUGGCAUCAAUCGUUGGGUAUACUUUGAUCUUGACAAAGGAGCAAAAAGGUUUGACAUUCCUGUCAAUACUUCAAACAUCAUUUCAAAAUCUACAAAAAAUGACGAAAAAAAAAUUUUGAAUUUAAAAGAAACUACAAGUAACAAACCAAAAAAUGAAGAUAAAAAAAGUUUGUUUAAAAAUAGUUCAAUGAAUGAAAAAGUAAAAAGUGGGAAAUAUGUUCAAGAUAAAGAAAAAACACCUCAAGCUUUCAAUGAUGAUGUAUCACAAAAUCAUAAAUCUCAAAAGAAAAACUUACAUUUUAGUCGUAAGUCUGGAGAUUUAACAAAUCAAAAUAAAAAGUCAAAUUUAAACUUACCUUUUAAGCAUAAGAUAAUUGAUGUAACCAAUGAUGAUGGUGAUGAUGAUGAUGAUUCUUUCACUCCUCUUGUUCAUGUCAAUCGUCAUCCUGGUCAGUUAACUAUCAAAGAAGAAACUCUUUAUCAACAGUAUAUGCAUAAUAAUCAAUUGACUUCAAUACCAAUUGAUGCUCGGGAUAAACGUAACCAUAUUCCAAAUAAUGCAAAAAAUGGAAAUGUACUCAAUAAGAGUUUAAACUUUGAACAUAAAAAAACAAUUAAUAAAAAAGUCUUACAUGGUAUGUAUAAUAAUUCUUCAAUAUUCAAAAGGUUUGAGGUACCAUCAUUAAUGGAUUCUAGCAAAUAUUUUCAAUAUUUCAUUGAUCAUCCAGAGUCUGUUGUUAGAGAAGCUGCAGCUGUUUUUAAGGAAAGAGGGGAGAUGGAAAAACAGGAAGAGGAACUUGGUAAAGAUAAACCAAAUGAACAAAAUUUAAAAGAUGUUAGUAUCUUGCAGCCCCUUGAUGCGCUUUAUCAUUCUGAUAAGUUUCCUAAGCAACCUAGUUUAAAAGAUGUUAUAGAUAAUUUUGACGCUCCUACACAAGUUGGUUAUCAUUAUGGACAACUCUUGUGGGGUUGGUUUUUAGCACCAAUGGAUGGAGAGUAUAUUUUUUAUUCAGCUUGUGAUGAUGCUUGUGAUAUUUAUUUAAGUCCUAAUGAAAGAAAGGAUCAUAUCAAGAAGAUCAUAGCACAAAAGCAGUGGUCUCAUCACAAUGAAUUUGACAAGUACCCUGAAGAGCAAACAAGUAUUGGGAUUAGAUUAGGUAAAUCUAAAUUAUACUUUGUUCAAGCUGUUGGCGCACAAAGUAUUGGGAGUGAUUGUUUAUCUCUUGGUGUUCAACUGCCAAAUGGUGUUUUAAUUCGCCCUAUUUCAAGAGAAUAUAUGUUAACAUCACCAAAAGCUCCCACAUCUGGUAGUAAUUUAGAAGAAGCCAAUAUCUUAGACCGUAAUGCAGUUGUAAGUGACAAUGUAACUCAACAGUUAGCUCUUCUUAUGAUGGGUAGUGAUGAAAAUUUAUCUAACAAUAUUAAUAGUGAUUGGAUCUCAAAUAUAAGUAAAGAGACAGAAGGCAAACAAGUUUUACAGGAGAAAAACAAAGAAAAUAGUUUUUCAAACAAAGAACCUGAAGUGUUAAGUAAAAAUUAUGAUAAUGAUGCUGUUUCUAAAAACAUUGAAAAACUUAAAGAAGUGGUAGCAAUUUUUGCAAAUAAAAUAAAUUAUAAACAAAUAGCACUUGAGAGGGCCAAGCAAACAGUAAUGAUAAAUAGUACAAUAUCAAGGCUAAAUAAAGCUAUUGAAGCUAUCAGCUCAAAGAUUGAAAGUAUUGCACAAAAUCAACCUGUUAAAUAUGUCAAUGAAAAUAAAAGUACCAACCAAAAUAAUUUAGAAAGUCUGAGUCUUUCUGGUGGUACAUUAGAAGAGUCAGAAGAAAACAACGGUUUAAAAGGAAGUUUACUUGAAGGGAAUCAAGAUAAUAAACUUGUUCAUCCAAGUUUUUAUAACCCUCAAAAUUUAAUGAAAUUUGAGUCAAUACUCAUAAAUUUAACAAACAAAAUUGAUUCGGUUGCUGAGAAAGUUGGAUUAAGCAAAACUACACAGAUACCUGCUAACAAAUUGAAAAAACCUUUCAUUAAUAAAAAUGGUUCUGAGAAAAAGGUGAUGAACAUGAACAAUGCAAUAAAUAAACUAGUUUUAGAAAUUGAAAAGCUGAAUGCAAUUGAUAAUGAUGAUGUUUCAAGUUUCAUUAAAAAAGAGGAAACAUUAUUGGGAUUAUUAAAUGUUUUGAUGUCGGUCAGAAAUUCAUUAAAUCCAAUUCAGCAAGUAAUAACCAACAAUCCAAUACUUCAAACUUUUACUUCUGAUUUUAGUGCACUUGAUGUGAUUUUAGCAGUGAAAAGAGUAAAUCAAGACCUGAACACACUUAAAAACACUUUAAAAGCAACUGGAAUUUUAGAAACUGAAAGAGGAAAAGCUAUAUUAUCCUUAAUAUCAAAAACUACACCUGAUCUAUCUUUCAGACCAAGUACUGCUACUUCUGAUGAAGUUAGCAAAAAUAAAUUUCCUACUUUUUCUUUUGUCAAUGGAAUCCAGGAUAUUGUCCCUUUAUUAUUGAAACCUGAAGCCAGUAAAUUUGGCAGUUUUUUACAUGGUCAACUAGAAAGCGUUAUGCAUCCAGAAAAUACAGCUACAUUGCCAACAGGAAAUGAAGCACCAUUAAGUUUGAUUUUAGAUAAUCAAAGUAUUAACAGUAACUUAUCACCUGCUAUUGUAAAUGCUGGUGUUGUUGCUAAUAAAGGCAUUAGAGGAGAAGAUUUUGGUAAUCCUUCUUCUUAUAACUUAGGAGUUGGACUUGACCAUUCGAUGCAAAUUCCUCAAAACACUGGUAAGUUAACCACACCAAUUUUAUCACCUUUAUUGAAUGACAUUAGUGUUUUCUCAGUAAACAAGCAAACUCCAGAUUUACCUAUCUUGAAUUCAAAGGAACAUGCAGACAUAUUGUAUAAAUCUAAUGACAAUUUUCAAAGGUCAUCACUGACAUUGCUACCUAAAACUUUACAAAUGUCGGUUAGUUCAGCUGGUUUUAUUCCAGAUGUAAAUUUUGCUGAAGUCUUAUUGCCAGAAAAUUCAUAUACACCUCUUUAUGAAAAUAGUCAACAGCAUAAAAUGAAUGCCACAAAUUUUGUACAGUUACUUACAGACAAAAGCCAAGAGAAAAACAAAGCAAAUAAAAGGUUCAGCAAAAUACAAAAUCAUGUACAACAAAGUUCAAUUGAAGCAAAGAAAAGAAGUUCAAAACCUUUUGUAGAGGUUAUUAAGAACUUUGGUAAUAAAUAUAAGAAGGAAGUAAAAAAGAGUUUUAUGAACAACAAUCUAAAGAAUGCAACAUUAGAUAGAAAAUAUUUUCAAGUUCAUGGUCAAGUCAGCAGUGAGACAGAAAAACCAGCUAAGAAGACUCGAACUGCUUCAAAAAAUGAAGAAUAUGAUCCAAAGAAAAAAUACUCAUCUGAUGAUGUUGAUGAUGAUGUAGAUUGGAAUAAAGAAUAUGAAAGACGAGAACAAAAGGAAGAUGAAGAACUUCAACAACAAGAAGAUAGAGAUCAUGAGUUAGAGAACCGCGAAGAAAAUCAGUUAGAUAAUUACUUAAAUCGGGAGGAAGAAAAUGACUAUACAUACAUGUAUAAAAAAAAAAAGUCACCACUUAAUGUGCUUCAAAAAACUUUAAAAAAUAAAAGUGAAAUAGGAGUAAAACGGGCCAAUGGAUAUUGGCACAACCCUGAAAAUCUUCACAAUGAUAAAGAAAUCACAGAAUAUGAAAAUCACAUGACAGCUCUUGAUAAAAAACGACGUCAUUCUCAUGCUUUGUAUCUAGAGAAGCAAGAUGAAGAAAUUGAUUCUGAGGAAGAUAAAAGACUUGAUGAAGCUCUAGAUAAAGAGAUGGCUGAAGAUGGGUAUUUCCAUCAUCACAACCACCAGAAGCACCAUCACAACCGUAAUCAAUAUGAUGGUUAUAACGAAAACAAGGACAUAAUUUCAACCCCAAAAAAAGGAAAACUUUCUCAAAAACAAUAUCGUUCUUUGAGAUUAAAAUACCAUGGUUUACAUCAACCUGAUCUUACUAAACGAGGUCAUGUUGUUUUGAUUGAUCCAGAAGAGUUAAAAAAAAUAUUACAAAAUGCAGAUUUGACUUCAAAAUUAACAUCAAGAAUAAAUGAUCAAAAAGAAGCAUCCAUUCAACCAUCUCCUCAAAUUAAUAAAGUUUAUGAUAAGGAAUUUUUAAAAGCAAGUAUUCGUAAUUCAACAUUGCCAUUUAAAAGAGAUCAAGAUUCAAAAGACAGUGAAAGUGACAAAUCAAUAUUAAAAGUUAAAAGCAAAGAUGAUAUCGUUGAUAAAAAUAAAAAUGAAUUUACUCAAGGCUUAAAUUCAAGUACUGCUGCAUUCAAUGCCAUGACGUCACAUUCAACGUCUACAUUCGACGUCAUGAAAACUGAAAUUGCUAAAGCAAUAGCAUCUGAAAUUGCCGCUCGCAUAAUCAGUAAAGACUCUGUUUUAUUUAACACUAUUGAGACAGUUGCUAAACCAUCCAUAAAUAUUGCAGAAGCAGUCAGCAAUGCAAUCUCUCGUAAUGAAGUUGCAAGCAUUCCCCAUUCUUUUAAAAGUUCGUUUCACGAUUUGAUAAAAGAAGUUAUCAAUCAAAGUUUGUCAUCAGAUAUAGGUUCAGCCAUUCCAAGUGCAAAGUUUGAAAACACUUCAGAUCAAUUAGCUAAAAGUCUUAACUUGACUGGAAAAAUAGAUACACCCAACAUGACAUCUGGUUAUGACAAAGACAAAAGCAUGAUGUUGUCUGAUGUAAUAAAACCUAAUGAAGUAACAAUGUUAAACAAAUUUCUAACACAACCAGCUAAGUUACAAGAGAUUUCAUCUAAAAUGUCUAGUCAUGUGAUUGUUCCCAACAGCUCUCGUCUACCACACAGCACAUCUCACCAUUUGAUAUUUAAGUCUGUUCAAUCAUCUGAAAGUAAAAAUGAACCACACGAUGAUCUUUCACAGUCUGCAUCUAUUAUACCAGGGUAUCAUCAAAUUAUCAAUAAAAAGAAGGAAAAAAAACAAACCCCGGAGGUAAUAUCAAUAGGAGCAGUUAUCCGACACAAUAUUCUUGGAAAUAUAAAAAGUGAUACUCAUUCCAUGUUUAAGUCUCGAAGAAACAAUUUCCCAGAGGUUAGAAGUGUUAUUAUUAGUAAUGUUCCUAAGAAGAAAAGAAUUCAAAAACUAAAAAAAAAAGUAAUAAAAUUAACUUUAAAACAUAAAGAUUUUAGUCUAGGAAAAAAAGCAGGUUACACUCAAAACUUUAAGAAGUCAGCUAUAUUCCAUCACAGUCAAAAGCCCGUUUCAGCUUUAAUUGAUGAUGUUGACGAUGAUUCAGAUUUGGUCAGUGGAGACUCUAGCAAUAUAGAUUCACCAGCAAAUUCGGUUGUUUUUAGUAAUUUUUUUAAAGUUUCAAAUGGUUUAGGGAAACUCUAUGACCGAAGUAGUAUUUCACCUUUGAAUGCAACAAAAUUUGGCGGUGAGAGUUUUUCUGGAGAAUUCAGUGAUAUUUUGGACCGUUUUUCAAAUGUGAUAGAUGACACAUCUAAUAAAAACUACAGUCAAUCGAACAACAACAAAAAAAAUGGAGUUUCAUUUUCGGGAAAUGACGACGAUAUUUUAUUUUCCAAUGUUGAGUUGAAUGUUAUCUAUGGAGAUAAAAAAAACGACAAGAAAGUUAAUAUAACCGAACAAAAAAACACAUGGAAUUUUGUCAAUUCAAAAUUAAACAACACAGAUUUUACCAACAAUCAGAAUAAAAACACAAGUUCGUUUCUAAGAAAUAAAAGUUUGAUAUCUACUACAACUUACGGCAACGGAGACAAAGCAGUUACUUACACCACUGAAACAAAAAAUGGAAAAACAAAAAUGACCAAAACAAUCAACUAUAGGAACGGUGAACCCAUUGAUCGUUGGACAAACGGUAGAAUUAAAAUAAAAAAGUACAACCCUAAUAGAUAUAACAAACCUCCACAUUCUGGAAAAAUUUUAAAUAAUUCAAAAAUAAAAGCUAAGUUAAAACCAAAAGAAUUGAAACCCAUUGAAAGCUCUGAUAUUAAUUCUGAUGCUAAUACAACUGGAUUAAAUGUUCUUGGAGGAAAGCAAGAAAAUCACGUAAAUUACAAUAAUUUUGAUUACGUUGAUAAUGGAGUUAACUAUACUGUAAAAGCACCUCUAAAUAUUCAUAGUAGCAACUCGAGCAAAGAAAAAAACCCUGAAAUUAUUCCGUCGCCAGGUAUUGAUAAGGUAAAGGAUAGCACCUCUAACCAAAAUCUACCAACAUCACCAGAAAAGGUAGGUGGGUUAGCUGAAUCAACUCCAAAUAUUUCUAGUUUAGCUACUAUGCCAAUAAAUAACCCUGAUCUACCUCCAUCAAUAAAUAACCCUGAUUUACCUUCAUCAAUAAACAACCCUGGUCUACCUUCAAUAAAUAACCCUGGUCUAACUUCAUCAAGAUUGUAUAACCAUAAUUUUAAUCUCUUGCCAACAAAUAAUCUAGGUAUAUCCACAUUAAAUAAUCCUGGAUCAUCACCUAUACAAAAUCAAAAUUUCAACAAACCAAAAUUAACUUCAUCAUUAUUAAACAAUGCUGGUUCACUGCUAAUACAAAAUCCUGGCAUAACUUCACCAACACUCACCAACUCUAGUUCAAUAUCAUCAGCAACAAAUAAUCUUGCAGUCACAGAGCCAAUAGUUCCUGACACAAACGAAAUACCAAUGGCUGCACCUGUGUUAGAACAAAAUCCUCCUCUUUUGCAUUCUAAUCUAUUGUCUCAGCAGCAAAACCAAAUAUAUCAAGCUCAAACUCCUUAUGAUGAUCCAUAUGACACUACAAAAACGUAUUCUGAAAAUCAAGCUAUAACAAGCGCAUUGCAGCCAUGUAAUGAGGAACCGAUUUAUCAAAAUGGCCUGGAAACAAAUAUGUUACCUGAUAAUACUCAUCUAACAGAACAGUCUAUCGCAGCUCAAUCUCCUGUAUCAUUUGCAAGUUCUCAACCACUGGAACAAAUGAUGCAAACCAAACCUCAAAGCUUAUAUAAACAGCCAAUCACUGGUCAUCAAAGUUUUGUCAACUCAUCUUGUCAUACUAUUGAUAUGACUAAAAUUAAUCUUCCGAACAACAUACAGCCAUUUUUGAGAAAUGAUAAAAUAAAAGCUAAUAGAGUAAUAAAUCCAAUUGAAGUAUCAAAUACACUCAAAAAUAAGCAGUCACUGAGUGCAAAAUCAUCAGGACUUCGUGUAGAAAGUACAAAUAGUCACGGUCAAAAUAAUAAGACAUAUUUUGAUGAUGGAAUAUUAACUAUUGAGGAAGAAAACAUUGCACCGAAUUCAAAUAUACUUUUUUUUAAAAAAAACAUUAAAAAGGUUUCAAAAAUAAACGCUAAUAAUUUUCAAGGAGAAAGUAAUUACAAGUCCAACCAUUAUGACGUUGACAAUUUUUCAGGAAAUUUCAACGAUGAUGGGAGUUCUCCCGUUUUUGUUAAAUAUCGGUAUCAUGUACUGAGCGAAGAAGAAAAAAUUGCUUCAAAUGAUGAAUCCUUAUUACCUGAGGACGAAGACUUAGGUUCUGGAAAAAAUCCUGUGACCCAUGAAAGUUUAAUUCAAAAAUCUGACAACAUUGUUUUAUCAGCUUCAGGUUUGCCAUCUUUGUCACUAAACUAUACGAAACCUGGUAUUAAAAUAUCAUCUGUCCAUUUAAACAAUAGCAGUGCUAGAACAAAAAAUAUUUUGAUUAAAGAGAAAGAUUUUAUGGUGCAGUCUAAAAAUCAAGUUGCAUCAAGAAUGCAAUUGCCAGAAAUCUCUAAUGUGCGUCAGAAAUAUCCGACAACAAAAAAUAAAUCGUCGCAAACUAAACAUUUAUUGAAAGUUAAAUAUGAUUAUUCAAAGCAUAAAGGAAACAUAACAUACAAUCGUGAAAGUAAUCAAAGUAAUUCUCGACCGGUAAUGCUUAAAAAACCAAUCAAUCAAUUUAUCAACCGGCUGUCUUUACAAAUGUCUCGACUUAAAAAAAGCACUCUUGGUGUAGAUUGAAAAAUUUCAAACGCAUUUUGACACUUAUAGUUACUCGUUUUGACAUUUUUUAAAUUUCGAAAAAAAAAACGAACUCCUAUGAAGAACAUAUUCUUAAUAAAAAAAUUAACAAUUUUAAAAUAAUGAUAUAAGGACAGUAUGUUUUGAGAAAUAAAGUACUUACCUGCGCUUUACUUCUUGUCAGUUGAUAUAUGCUAUAUGUUUAUAAUCCAUGCAUAGCACCUGAUGUAUUAAUUAUUAAAUAUGCUGAUAUCAGAACUGUAUUUUAUCGAGCGUCAAUGGUACAGCGAUUAUAAAGAUUACUUAGAAAAAUUACGGUUAUUAUGACUAAGAACAACUUUUUCCAAGUUAGAUGUUUUACUAUCCAAGUUAGAUGUUUUACAAUCCAAGUUAUAUGUUUUGAUAUCCAAGUUAGAUGUUUUUUGGUCGUUGAUUUUUACUUAGCAUCACCAUAGUGUCUGUUCUUCUACAUUCGAUUCUGCAGGGGAUAUCAAAAUUUCUCAAACAAUAGUGCCUGGAAUUGCUGCUCGCAUAACGAGUCAAGACUCUUCUGUGUUUGAUAGCAUU
rnacentral:misc_RNA from 1 species